CAAAAAAUGCUUGUUGACUUGACAAACUGGCAACAGACAAACAGAACACAGGUAUAAAUAUACAGUGGAUAAUGGGRAAUAUGGGCGACACCUGUAGGGGGGUGGAGACGAUCACAACAACAGGUGAAACAGAUCAGGGUGUGACAUGACCAUUUUAUAUAUUUUCUCUUCUACAGGAUACAAACCCUUAGGAAGUCACUCAGGAGGCAAGCUUUGUCGUUGGACCAAGUCCAUGCUAAGAGGAAGAGGAGGUUGUUACAAGCACUCCUUUUAUGGCAUCGAGUCCCACAGGUGUAUGGAGUCCACCCUUAGCCUCGUCUGUGCCAACAAGUGUGACUUCUGCUGGAGAGUCUGAUACCGGUGACCAAGCUGUAUGUGAGUGUGGGUGCCGGCACCAAGGGCAGUCUGAAAAAGAUCGACCGGCUGCUCUUCAAAGACUUCUGGCCGAGGUUCCUGGACAGCCUCAAGGCUCUGGGUGAAAAGUUCAAGGUGGAGGGAGAGUGGUGGACGUGGAUAGACUACGAGCGGUUCCAGGAGCUUGUCCAUGCCUAUGAGGCAGCCAGACCUUCUCUGCCCAGGACUACAUGGCCAAGACCCCGACCCAGGCCCUGGUUGGUGCCCAGGAGUGAGGCUUCGACCCAACAGACACACGCUACCAGAUGAGACACAAGACCAAAGAUAUCUCAGGAUGCUGUGAGAGUGAGUGAGUGAGAGAGAUUCCUCCUCUCCAUCCACACAAACUUAGACUUUUAGUGUUCAUAAUUCGGUUAUAAUGUAUUGAGAGAGACAGAAAGCGAGAGAUAGAGACAGAAUGGAAGAGUGAGUUUAUGGAUAUWAAACAUUU